GAUGAACGCUGGCGGCGUGCUUAACACAUGCAAGUCGAACGGAGUUAUCAUUUUUGAAGCGAUUAGCUUGCUAAGAGUGGAAAUGUUGGUAACUUAGUGGCGGACGGGUGAGUAACGCGUGGGUAACCUGCCUUACACAGGGGGAUAACACUUAGAAAUAGGUGCUAAUACCGCAUAAGCGCACAGUCCCGCAUGGGACAGUGUGAAAAACUGAGGUGGUGUAAGAGGGACCCGCGUCUGAUUAGCCAGUUGGCAGGGUAACGGCCUACCAAAGCGACGAUCAGUAGCCGGCCUGAGAGGGUGGACGGCCACAUUGGGACUGAGACACGGCCCAA
rnacentral:rRNA from 1 species